GACGAACGCUGGCGGCGGGUUAAACACUUGAAAGUCGAACGGAAAGGCCCUGCUUUUGUGGGUUGCUCGAGUGGCGAACGGGUGAUUAACACGUGAUUAACUUGCCCUUGACUUUGGGUUAACUUCAGGAAACUGGGGCUAUUACCGGUAAGGAGCUCCUGCUGCAUGGUGGGGGUUGGAAAGUUUCGGCGGUUGGGGAUGGACUCGCGGCUUAUCAGCUUGUUGGUGGGGUAGUGGCUUACCAAGGCUUUGACGGGUAGCCGGCCUGAGAGGGUGACCGGCCACAUUGGGACUGAGAUACGGCCCAGACUCCUACGGGAGGCAGCAGUGGGGAAUAUUGCACAAUGGGCGGAAGCCUGAUGCAGCAACGCCGCGUGCGGGAUGACGGCCUUCGGGUUGUAAACCGCUUUCGCCUGUGACGAAGCGUGAGUGACGGUAAUGGGUAAAGAAGCACCGGCUAACUACGUG
rnacentral:rRNA from 1 species